UCUUUACCUUUAUUGAGUCCUGACGAAAUCUGGCUGUUAUAAAUCCUGACUGAAUCCCAUGAUGUUUUCCAAGCAAAUGGGACCACUUUGUAAGAAGCAGAAGCAUCCUCUCACCAUGUGCAAGAGGAGGAGGUGUAAAUGGAGAGAAGCCACCAGCAUUUUCAGAAAGCCACAUGAUGUAACAGCCCCACUGCACCGCCUCAUUUGUGCUGGAAAAUUUUAAAUAAGAGAAAUAGAAUUCUGUUCCAUUAGCAUUGCAACAAGUAUGAUAGCAUAAUAAACUUGGUACCAGGGUGGCAUUCAGCUCCAUUUUACAUGCCCUUCUGUCU
rnacentral:lncRNA from 1 species